rnacentral:rRNA from 1 species
GAGUCGUAACAAGGUUUCCGUAGGUGCACUGCGGAAGGAUCAUUGUCGAAAAUUGCCAAGCAGGGCGACCCGCGGACAUGUUGAAAUAAAUCGUCGGGGGCACGGCGUCUAAGGUGGCACGGCGCCCUCGACUGCCGGCCGGGCCCGCACCUUACGGCCUGCUCCAGGAGCGGCAACGGGGGUUCGGGGCAAGGCUUGGCACAAGAACGAACCCCGGCGCGGAUCGCGCCAAGGAACGGUAACAUAGCGUGCGUUGCCUUGCCGCCGGAUGCCCGGCGAGCGAGGUGACGACCGGUCGUAUCUGAACGACUCUCGGCAACGGAUAUCUCGGCUCUCGCAUCGAUGAAGAACGUAGCGAAAUGCGAUACUUGGUGUGAAUUGCAGAAUCCCGUGAACCAUCGAGUCUUUGAACGCAAGUUGCGCCCGAAGCCUCUAGGCUGAGGGCACGUCUGCCUGGGCGUCACGCAUAGCGUCGCCCCCGACCAAGCCACCGCAUCUCUGCAUGCUUGGUUGGGGCGGAGAGUGGCCUCCCGUGCGCCGUUGUGCGGUUGGCCUAAAAUCGGAGCUCGGCGACUGCGCCACGACGUCCGGUGGUGGACAGGGCGAAGGCCAAGGUUGCAUCGCGUCGUGCUCGGCCCGUCGCCGGU